GAGAGGUGCUGCAUGACUGUCGUCAGCCCGUGUUGUGAAAUGUUGGGUUAAGUCUCGCAACGAGCGCAACCCCUAUCGUCUGUUGCCAGCAUUAAGUUGGGCACUCUGACGAGACUGCCUGGGUUAACCAGGAGGAAGGUGGGGAUGUCGUCAAGUCCUCAUGGCCCUUAUGUCUAGGGCUACACACGUAAUACAAUGGCGCGUACAGAGGGAAGCGAACCUGCGAGGGGGAGCAAAUCUCAAGAAGCGCGUCUCAGUCCGGAUUGGAGUCUGCAACUCGACUCCAUGAAGUUGGAAUCGCUAGUA
rnacentral:rRNA from 1 species